GGAGGGUUGUCAGAGUGGUUUAUUGAGCCUCUUUGCUAAAGAGGUGUUGUUUAAUAGCAACCACAGGUUCGAAUCCUGUACUCUCCUCCA
rnacentral:tRNA from 1 species